rnacentral:lncRNA from 1 species
UCAUGUCUCGAGCUCACGCUGGGUAAGUGCAACGCGAUCGCCACCGAUGGUCAAGUCUUGUGACUCGAGCCGUGUUCAGCGUGUGCGACGAUUUCGCCGCUAGGAGGCUGAGUCAGAGAGAGUGCGGUAGGCUGUUGAGCAGCCAGUGCGCGGACUAUCCGCGGAUGAUUGACUCGAAGCCGAGUCAGGUGGUUAGCUAUGAUAGGGUACAGGAACCCUUAUGAGCUAGAGAUAGAGGCUUGAGCUAAGGUAAAUAGAAACCUUAGAAGUUAGUAGUUGGUGUUGUGAUCCUAAGGUAAUAGAAACCUUAGAGUAAAAUUAUGAGCUAAAGCAGUCAAGUAAAAGUAGAAUUAAAAUGAUAUACUAGAUGUUGCAUGUUGUUCAUAUCGCAUAUCGUGAGGCAUGGCAUGUAUUUCAAUUGAAUAUAUAUAUCUGUUGUAUAUUGUUGAACUAACAUGUUGCAGUGCCUCCUCGGACCUAUCGGUCGAGCUUUUCCCUUGGGUGGCCGUACCCACUAGAAACCAUGGAGUUGGUUCUCACCCCACGUUGUUUUGGGGUUUUCAGGUCGUUCGUGUGCGGCGCUGCGGCGCGAGGCGAGGGCGUAGCUCAGUAGAUAGCGCCCCACCACAGAGACCGAGGUAGCAGUACCCUGAGACAACCUAGCUUAGGGGUCUAGAAGACAAGAAAAGAAAAUGUAUCAAACUCUGAUGUAAUAGCAAGAUUAUAAUUUGGAAGUAAAAAUGUAAACAGAAACUGUGAUGUAUAACGUGAUUGUGAAAUGAAUGCUUGUAAUAGCAAGUAGAUUAUGUAUUUGAUACUUCCAUAUGCAAUCUGGAUUGAUAUCCGUUCCUUGUUGGAACAUUCGUUGAUUGUUUGGAUUGCGACGCCUUGGACGUACUGGGGAGACUCUGUCCGCGUACAAAGAAAUCCCCGGUCCGUUCGGCGGUCUGUCGUCGGCGCCGCGACCCGGUCCAAAUAGGCGGUUGGUCGCGGGGCGUGACAGAUAAGAUGGUAUCAGAGCAUAAAGUAGAAAAUGGAAAAAAUAGUUUAGACAGACCUAGGAGACCCUAGGAUAGCAAACCAUAGGAGAUUAAGGCUCGUAAGAGACGAGGACUUAUUUCUUUUGGCGAAAGGUUAAUCGAUUGGGUUGUGUCACAACCUCUAAGACGGAUAUUAGAGGUAGACUCAAGGUAUGGUUUAUUCUCGACCAAGUGUGUUUAUGUUUGGCGCGCACAACAUAAAGCCGAGUGACGAGAAUAGACGUCCUUGUUUUACUUUCGCCUGAUUGGCUUUUGAGCCGGUGUUAGUGGUCUCGUGUUCGACCCGGAGGGUCGAGGACUAAUCGAGUUGUCGUGUUUCAGGAAACGAUGGCACCGCGUAGGCGAUCUUCGUCCAGAUCGGCGCGGGAGGGGACAAGUGGCGUCCCCGAGCAAAUCAACGCGAGUGGAGACUCGGAGCUUCGCGAUCAGUUGGCCACACUCAUUGGAGUGAUGCGGCAACAAGCUGAUGUGGUGCAGCGGCAGCAGGAGGCUGCUAUGCGCCAACAGGAGCGAAUGGAACGACUCCAAGAGACUGUGGAUCGGCUGGUGGCAGCACCAGCUGCGGUUGGUCGAGGACAGCCGGGAGUUGCGGCGGAGCUGUUUCCGUCGGGGUCGGGCGAUCCGACUCCUGUUGGCCCAGAGGUUGCGGCGGAAAGGGAGCGAGCUUUAGCAGCCCUCAUGACUUUCAAGAAGUUUGAUCCGCCUACCUUUGAUGGUGAAGAUGCAGAUCCGUGGGUCGUUGAGAUGUGGAUCGAUUCCAUGAAAACACUCUUUGAGGAUCUGUACACGCUGGAGCGAGACAAAGUGAAUCUAGCCGCGCAUUACCUGAAACAAUCAGCGAAGGUGUGGUGGAAAGGCGUCAAGCGAGAUCGACCGCCUAGUCUCCCUCCUAUAACUUGGGAAGAGUUUCGGGGAAUGUUGUUCUCUGCUUAUUUCCCCGAUAGCGAGAAGCGGAAACUUCAGGAGAGGUUUCUUAAGCUGCGGCAGGGAAGUCGCACGGUCAGGCAAUACGAGCGAGAAUUUUCCCGUAUUGUGCAUUGUGUCCCAAACGUGGUGCGGGAUGACAAGGACAAGGCCGACUGCUUUGUGCGUGGACUUCGGCCAGACCUGUACCAGACGGUGCUUGUGCUAAAGUUGCAGACUUUUGCUGAAGUCCUGGAUCGGGCCUUGUGGAUAGAACAAGGCAAUGCUUUCCUGCGGGAGAAGCGUGAGGAGCAUUACAAGGAAAAGGGAAAAGAACGGCCGGUGAGUGGACACGAUGGUCAGUCAAGUUCCAAACGGACCUCAGUGAGGACGCGCUCUCGAUCUAGAGCUCCGGGGACGUAUCACAUUCGGUCCUCGGCGAGAUGUGCAAUUUGUGGAGGCCCUCAUUUUCCACAGCAAUGCGAACAACGAGAGGGCAAGUGCUUCAAGUGUGGGCUGCCGGGCCAUGUGCGGGACGAGUGUCCACAGGGUGAUAACCGGGCCUUGACACUGGCGAUGGCCCAUUCCUCCUUGGGACAGCCGGCGGGUGUGCCACCUGCGGCAUGGUCGGGGGAGCGGCCGUUGAGAGUGAUGCAACCAGAGGGUUCGCGACGGGCGCCAAGUGGCCAUGGAUAAGCGACCCGAGCUGUGGUGCCUGCCGUUGCUGACGACGUUGUGGCAGGUAUGAGUUAAUUGAGCAAGCAUAUACUUUUACAUGAUCUCAAGUUGAUGCAUAGUAUGCAUUUAUCAUAUGGUCAGUUGCUACUAUUUAUACAUUGCAUAGUAGGGACCGAAUAGUCGGAUAAGUAGACACCCGUACAUGCUUGCGUUGUGAGAAGUGGCACCUGCUGGUGCAAGCCGAACGCCAAGUGGUGCUGGCAAAUGGCUAGUGGUGAUGUUGGACAGGAAACGAGGCUCGCAAUGGAAACCGAGUGAUGAAAGGACUCUCAAAGUGAUGGGUUAGAGAUUUACAGAGUCGGGCUUUGAUGUUUGGGAACGCGCGAAUAUCCCAAAAGUAUUUCGGAUGUGGAUUCGGUAAAUCGAACGGUGGAGAUGAACCACUGUCGCUAAAUUGGCUGGUUAGUGCCGAGUUUGGCCUGUUGGCCUAGUAGUACCUCGAGUUGAGGUGGAUGAGUUAUGCCUGUGUGGUAGGUGUGCAUAGGCUAAGUUGCCUAAUGCUAGGCUUCGUGUGAGACGCUGUAGAGGCUUAAAGCGCUCGAGUAUAGAUACUCGUAGAGUACGGUUUCGAUUCAGCCGGUCGAGUGAAUUGGCAGUAGCACUUCAGCAGGGCUAAGUGUGAAGCGGGCCAUAGAUCACUCGUGAGGGCUGAUGGCUCGCACUAGGUGCCUAGGAGCCGAUAGAGUGUGUAGCUCUGUAGAGCAUGUCGUGUAGGACGACGUUGGCGGGUAGUGCUUGGGGACGACCCGUGCCUGGACCAUCUGUGGACUAUGGAGCCUGGGCCCAUUGGGCAGGCGCAGUCAACUGUGAGAGACAGCGGCCCGAUACCUAUAGGUAGGGCGGAGAGUUUUGGUCAGGACGGUAGUCCGAGCUGAGACCCGAGUACGUGGAAUGCCACGUGAUAGAUCAUGAGAUUGAUGACGCACCGAGUGUGUGGUGACCCAACCCAAGGAUUAGAUGUGGAUUGGGAUCUUGAUAGCUCCUGGUUGGAGUGUGUGCGAGUUCUCCAAUGAGAAUGUCGCCCAAUGAUGAUUAGGUCUACGCUUGCGAGCGAGAGACGCUAGGCGUCGUUGAGACGAGUUUAGUCGGUAGGCCUACGUAAGGUGGGUGACUGUUGGUCCACCCGUAGAGAUUGAUGGUCGAUGCGACCAAUGACCCUGUGAAUGAGCUUAGACUUCAGUUGCGAACGAAGGGUUCGUGCAAAUUCACCGCCGGAGUAGAGUGGCGUUGAUCGUGGCUUAUGGUUUUAAAGGAUAAAGAGAAUCGAAGUGCUCUUAUAAGGCCUCGAGUUAAUGAAAGCCACGUGAGAAUUGGAGUUGAUACGCUCAAGUUAGUGGAAACAAGUGGAUGAUACUCUCAGGGGAGUUGAGGUUGAGACAUGCCGAAGUGUGCCAUCUCGUGAUAGGGCAAAGAUUCGAUUGAGAUUGAAGCACUCGCGAUUGGCCGAAGCACCGAUGAUAUGGUUGAUAUGCAAUGCCGGUGGUCGGAAUCGGAGUGGAAAGGUAUGAUGGUACCCUCAAUAACUCGGUAGGCCAAGUUGAUGUGGUUUGAAUUUCGCGGACGAAAUUCUUUUAAGGUGGGGAGAAUGUAACCCCCGAGGUUUCGGAAGAAAUUAUCGAACUUUAGCCAAACCGACUACAAUAUGCGAAGAAGAUGGAUGGACAUGUUUCCGUUGGUAUUCCAACAUGAUUGGAAGGGUAAAAGUGAGUUCCAAAGGAGUUGGAAGGAUCUUAACAUCGUACGGCGUGAAAUAGAGCUGAAAAGAAGUGAAAACAGCAUUCUGCAGGUGCUGUACCGGUACAAGCAUGAUGGCUGUACCGGUACAACCAUCACGGAACAGUGCUACGGCGCUGUACCGGUACAAGGGGGCCUUGUACCGGUACAAAACCCGCGAAACCAAGCAAGCCAGCUCUCGGUUUUGGUUGUCUGUCAGGCCUUGUACCGGUACAAGAGCCCGUGUACCGGUACAAGGGACCCAGAACAGUGGGUUAAGUUGGAAAAACGAAAAAUAUUGAGGGGCUAGGUGGAUAUUGUUACAAUACACUAUUAGAGAGUGUUUUAUCUCACUCUCUCUCACUCCCACAGCUCCCUCCAUCUCUCUCUGUUCGUGACCAAGGGGAGAACCGAAGGGAGAAGAAAAGAAGGAAGGAAAGCAAGGAAAGGAAAAGAGAGAAAGAAAGAGAGGAAGAAAAAGAGAAAAGCAAGGAGAAGAAGAAGAAGAUCUUCAUCUUCAUCCUCAUCUUCAUCUUCUUCCUCAUUUUGGAGCUUUUGAGAGGUAAGCUUCUUGCUCCCUCUAAUGGUGAAUUUUGGUAGAAUGGGUUUUAAACCCUAGAACCCAGAGUUUUGAAGCUUCUAACUUAUUUAGAACCUUGUGGAGAGCUAGAACACCAUGAAAUCCAUGGUUGUCUCAUGAAGCUCUAAUGGUGGAAUUCUAGGGUUUGCUUUAAACACCCUAGAAAUGGUUUGAAUGCUCCUAGUUGAGCUCCUAGAUGAUAAACAAGCUUUCUUUUGCUUGUUUUAUAGAUCAAAUCCGAGGUAUUAAGCCUAUGUUGCAUUGGGGCAUCUCAAAUGGGAAUUUUGCUAAUGUGGGGUUUUGAUCUAUUUUGAGUGCUUGGAAACCUAAUUGCUAGGUCAAGAAACGCGUGGGCGAAGACGGAUUGAGCAUUCGUCGAGCCGUUUUAAAGUUAUUAAAGAAAUAAGCCUUGAGGCUUCAUUCUUGCCUGUAGGUCCGAGACGGCAUCGUAUUGUCGUGGGAACGGACGUGUGGCAUCGUGGCGCAUAACCGAAGACCUAUAAUUUCCGGAUUUGUAAAGCGGAACACGGUUGAGGCGCAAGAGCUUGUCGGGCCCAAAGGGUGCCGAGUGCCGCGGGAGGCCGAUUGCAAGUGUCGACAAGCAAUCGGAACGCGAGUUAAGGUGGGUUGUGCUUACCGAAGCGACUAGGUCGCCCUUUAUGUCUUAGCAAUGUAAUCUCACGUUGAUGCAUGUGCAUGUAGACAAGGCUAAAUGAUGCAUUAGUAAAUAUGCAUAGAGUAAAUGCAAGCAAAAUAAAGAAUGCAUGAUGAGCAUGAUAAAUAAAUAAUGCAAGCAAGU